ACAGAACGUUUGCAUUUAAGAUAACAAAAUGUCGUUCCGUGCUAUAUUCGGUUCAGCUGCAACCGCCUUCUUAAUAUUAUUGAUAAGUAGCAACGUGACGUGCCAACUGCCUUUGCCGAUACCUGCGACAAACAGCUCGCUGAUCAACAGCUUGUUCCUCAACCACCUGGAGCACACGCUCGACCGCCUCACCGCGCUCAGCGAGGUCGCCAACCUGCUCACGGGUGGAAUGGCGGGUCUCGAUUAGAUAAUACCUACUGCGAUGUGUGAUGAAGCUUUUCUAAAGUGUUUUAAUUUGGAAAUCAAUAAAUGAUUUUAAUUAUU